rnacentral:rRNA from 1 species
UACGGAGGGUCCAAGCGUUAUCCGGAAUCAUUGGGUUUAAAGGGUCCGUAGGCGGUUUAGUAAGUCAGUGGUGAAAGCCCAUCGCUCAACGGUGGAACGGCCAUUGAUACUGCUAAACUUGAAUUAUUAGGAAGUAACUAGAAUAUGUAGUGUAGCGGUGAAAUGCUUAGAUAUUACAUGGAAUACCAAUUGCGAAGGCAGGUUACUACUAAUGGAUUGACGCUGAUGGACGAAAGCGUGGGUAGCGAAUGGG